AAUAAAUGUAGUUAUAAGUUUCCACGUUUAACUUUAAUCGUUCGUCUUAUUUAAAAUUUUUUUAUAAUUAGCAUUUUUGUUGUUAUAAGAUGAUAAAACAUGAAUAGUAAUUUACUCGUGACUUAUAUUUUUAAUUUUCUUAAAAAAAUUAAAUAAGACGAAUAGUUAAAGUUGGGCGUGGAAAACCAUAGUUGCACUUAUU
rfam:Oryza barthii chromosome 7, whole genome shotgun sequence.